UUUUUUUUUCCUGUACUGUAGUUACUCGGCUCGCCCACCUAAUAAAAAGAAAAGGAGGAGAAAAAGCUAACAAAAUAGGGUUUCGAUUCCUCGCCUCUUGGAUAGAAGCUAGCGCCGGUAGCCACUUCCAAUAGGUCAUGUUCCUCGACGACGUCAAGGCGCGGUCACCUUUAAUGUAAAAGAGCCAAUUUUUUCCAUGUUUUUCUGUUUUAUUCCGUUUUUUCCAGGUUUUUUCUUUUCUUUUGUUUCUUCCCCUUUUUCUUCUCUAGUUAUUCUUUUUCAUUUUUCAUUUUAUUUCCUUUUUCUUCUCCAUUUUUUGUUUGGGUUUCUUUUUCCUUCUCCAUUUUUUGUUUUCCUUUUCCGGAUUUUUUUGGUUUUCUUUCUUUCUUUUUGUCUUUCAUUCUACAUUAUAUACACAUCGUCAACAUCUUUUCAAAUACUUGUUCAACACUUUUCAAGUACUUGUUCAACAUUUUUAAACACUUUGCUCAACAUUUUUUUAUACAUCAUCAACAUUUUUUUCAAAUACUUCUUCAACAUUUUUCAAAUACUUAUUCAACUUUUUUUGGAUGCUUGAUUAAAAUGUUUUUAAAUACUUGUUCAAACAUUUUUCAAAUACAUGAUCAACAUUUUUCAAACGCUUGAUUUAAAAUUUUAAAUACUUGUUCAACAUUUUAUUAAAUGCUUGAUUAACAUUUUUCAAAUACUUGUUCAACAUUUUCGAUGUACUUGUUCAGCAUUUUUUCGAAUGCUUGACCAAUAUUUUUCAAAUACUUGUUCAGCAAUUUGUCCCAAUGCUUCAUCAACAUUGUUUAAAUACUUGUUCAACAUUUUCAAAUACCUUUUCAACAUUUUAUGAUAUGCAUUCAGAAUUUUUCAAAUACCUUUUCAACAUUUUUAGUACUAAUUCAACAUUUUCUAAUACAUGAUCAACAUUUUUUAAAUUUUUGUUCAACAUUUUUUUAAUAACUAUUCAACAAUUUUUGAAUACUUGUGCUACAUUUUUUAAUGUGUUUUUGAAUAGUGUUUUUAUGUAAUAUAUGUAUUUAAGAUAUUAUAAAGUACAAAAUUUUAAAAAAGCAAAAAACGAAAAAAAAAACAGGAAACUGCAGGUGCUUCCCCGCGCGCUUGGGCCGGCCAAUAUGCUCGACUCGCUCAAGGCGAGGAAUAGUCGUGCCCUUGACCAAUGACUUGUUGACCCUUGAAACCGUUGACGAUUCAAUUUUUAAAAUUCAAAAUUUCAUAAAAAGAAAGAAAUAUUGUUCGAAAAUUUUAAAACAAAUUCAUAAAUUUGAAAAAAAAUGUGGAUUUUCGUGAUUUGUCUUUUAAAAAGCCAUGAAAUAUAGGGAAAAUGUUCACAAUUUUGAAAUAAAAUCAUUAAUUUGAAAAUUUUCAUGAAAUUUGUGGAAAAAAGUUCACGGAUUUAAAAAAAUCUUCAGUUUUGAAUGAAAAUUUCACGAAUUAGAACAAAUUUCACUGGAUUUCAAAAAAAAAGUCAAGGUUUGAAAGAUGUUCAUCAACUUUGAAAAAAUAAUCACAAAUUUGAAAAAAUUCAUUGAUUUUGAAAAAAUGUCACUAAUUUGGAAAUAUUGUGAACAAAUAAAGUUCACAAAUUUGAAAAAAGGUUCGCGGAUUUGAGAAAAGUUCAUUGAUUGUGAUAAAAAUAAAUUUCACAAAUUUGAAUAAUGUUAAUCAAUUUUUAAAAAGUUCACAGGUUUAAAAAAAGUUCACGAAUUUGAUAAAGUUCACGAUUUGAAUAAAUUUCCAAAUUUGAUUUUUUAUGUAUUUUAGAAAAUAAAAAAGAAGGAGGAACAAGAAAAAUGAAAACAAAAAGUAAAAACCCGAGUGAAAAAACAGAUGAAAAAUUGGACAAACUAAAAAAGUCUAGAAGGCGCAGAAUAAGAAGCAACAGAAGUAUUAGAACGCAAUAGUAUGUGAGCCGUCCGAGUUGGUUACUAAAUUUGGAAGAAAACGGUGAGGUUCUGAGUUCGAAUCUCAAGACCCGUGUCACCUUAUGAAGGUUGAAAAAGAAGAAAAAUGGGCCGAGCUCAGGAUGCGGAGGGUGUGCGCCGAUUUGUUCAGUUGCCUUUAAACUGGAGCAGGGGAAGGGAGUGUCGUUCUGCUGCUGACUAUCUUGUAUGGGCUUCUUCGAUCCCGGCAGCAGGGGCACAAUCAGGAACAAGUUUGAUGAGGAUAAUGGUAUGUCAGAGGAUGAUACCGAUCCAGGUGCAGCGACCAAGAGUAAUGAGCUUAGAAAAAUUCAGAACGCCGCACCCCAUGCCUAAGUCAGGAUCCACCUUGUGAUGCUACCGAUGCGUCGAACUCCCUAGCAUAUUUUAAAUUUUUAGAAAAAAUAGCACAUUUACACAAUAUAAAUGUAUGUUGUCACAAAAUUUCAAAUUAAAAUUUUAAAAUAGUGUAUGUUGUCUCAAAAUCUCAAACUAAAAUUUAAAACAUAGCUCAGAAAACAAAAUGACAAAUUUGAUACUAAAUAGUACUCCCUUCGUCCCAAAAUUCUUAUCUUAGAUUUGUCUAGAUACGGAUGUAUCUAACACUAAAACGUCACUAUACAUCCGUAUUUAGACAAAAUUAAGACAAGAAUUUUGGGACGGAGGGAGUACAUAAAUAAACUGGGCUUUUGAUUUGGCCUCUUGUCACAUUGAUGUCUAAUUAAUCAUUUGUGUAUCUCGAGCAGUGUUUUGAAUUUUGAUAUGAAAUUUUAUAAUAAUAUACAUUGAUGUUGCGUAGGAGGAAAAAACCCUCGGGUUUUCGGGGCAUUGCAUUCUCACCUAUCUCUUCAUACUCAAGCGACAUUCUCUCUUCUAUUUUGUUGACCCUCACUUUCGCGGUUGCUUCUCUCUAAGGCGGACACUGUCCUAUCAAUGCAUUUUGGCAUCCCACACCUUCAGCAGAUCACUUAGCCCCCUUUCAUAGCCUAUCUCUCUCUGAAAGGCCUCUGAUUUCACGAUCCAAUUUGAAAAGCUGGCUGACAAUUGUAGCUCUAGCUGAAAGAAAUUUCCCCACUCAAGUCAGGCCCUGGAAAACCAACCAAAGAAUGGAAGGAGUGCGCGAUGGAGGCCCUCGUAAAUCAAAUUAUAAUCUGAACUAUAGCCAGGGCAAAUCUCUUGAUAUCGGAGGCUGGUUUCUAGGCAUAGGAGCCGUCAAAGGAAAGGCUAGAAGCCUUGGCUUUGAUGCACCCCGACUGUACAAAAAGGAUCAGAGGUCAAAUUAGUUAACCAAUUAUGAUAUUUGUGAAAGAUAAUGAAGCUUCAUUCCCUUGCAAGCUGAUAUGGCGUCUGGAGAACCCAGCUAGCAGGUUUUGCAGCGACCCUCCCAGAGAGCAUAUAACAAGGAAAAAUCUGGUUUUGGAAGCUGAGCCUAAGGGACCAUUAACAACAAUCCGACAGUAACCACUGCGACAGUAAACGUCCUACUCUCAACAAGGAUCGCAGCAUCAAACAUCUGAACCAACGACAAUCUCAAACCAACAAAAAGCAGAAAUCCGAGCAGCCACAGACGAGGCGAAAAGCCCACAGAAAGUAAGAGAGUUAAUAGAGUUAUCUCUCUAUUAAGGCAAACACAAGUACUGGACUGAACGAUUUAUAUAUUCUUCACAAACCACAACCAAAAAAGAGUACUUGAUUAGCAACUCCAUUACAGAUACUAGUUGAUGCGGAAAACAGAAGGUAACUCAUGUCCAACUAACAUGAACCAGGCGUCGUCUGGCGACGCCAUCCACAUUUAUUCUUCGCAUAGACAAAGCAGGGACACCUCUGACCAGGCGCCACAAAGGAAAGCAGAGCACUCUACUGAGUCUUGGCCAUGUGGCGGAUCAGGUCGACAACGCGGUU
rnacentral:lncRNA from 1 species